UACGUAGGGUGCUAGCGUUGUCCGGAUUCAUUGGGCGUAAAGAGCUCGUAGGCGGCUUGGCAAGUCGGGUGUGAAAACUCCAGGCUCAACCUGGAGACGCCACCCGAUACUGCCAUGGCUUGAGUCCGGUAGGGGACCACGGAAUUCCUGGUGUAGCGGUGAAAUGCGCAGAUAUCAGGAGGAACACCGGUGGCGAAGGCGGUGGUCUGGGCCGGUACUGACGCUGAGGAGCGAAAGCGUGGGGAGCGAACAGG
rnacentral:rRNA from 1 species